GCCUGACUCAUGAAGCGUGGAGCGACCCAGGAACAUCCCAGCUCCUCAUGUCCCACAUUCUUCAGGCUUUCUCUUAGUUUUGGCAUGUGCAUGUAAAUGUCAACAGAUCAAUAAAGGCAAAAACCAGGAGAUCCCAUAAAUCCCGCUGAGCCUGUCAUAGCUAUCAAAUUAUACCCAGAUAAAGCUUCUGGUGGCUAAUGACAUGGCCAUCACCCAGCGUGGACGUGGGCAGGAGGGGCUCUCCGGGAGCAUCUGGUCUGCUGUGGAGACACUUGUCAUCUGGAGGCUCUGUGGCUCUAAUGGAGGGUGAUGCUUUGAACGCGACUAUCUCCCCCAUAAAAAAAUAAAUAAAUAAUAAGUAUAAUUUAAAAAUAAACAAAGAUCUGGAUUUGCAGGCUA